AUUCCAUGGUGAGGGCAUUCUUGAAGGAGGUCUUUAAAUCUCUCCAUAAAUUUGGAGAAACAACUCACUAGGUUUCUGCCUGAAUUGAAGAAUGUCACUCCUGAGUUU